rnacentral:precursor_RNA from 1 species
CUAGCCUCUGCAUCUCUCGUGUUGCUGUACAGAUUACUGGUCAGUGACCUAGCUAGUAUGCAAGACAAUGCGCUUCGUCAGCAUGUCACGAGCGAUGCACGACAUGCAUGCAUGGACGACGCAUGUAUAUGGUUCAGUAUAUAUGUUCUAUUUCUUCUACGUGCAUCUAUCUUGUUUUCAAAUUUCAAGUGAUGCGACUAUAUUAACUCAAUUGAUUGGCUAUUAAUAUUUGAACGCAGAAUAUAUUUGAUGAGGGCGUGGCUAUUUUUUCUUCCCCAUGACGGUGAAUCCAAGCCGAACGAGGACACGAGAGAAGGUCGGCGAGCGAGAAGAACUGUCCUGGAUUGAGAGAAGAACUUUCCUGAAGACAGUAUAUAUAUCCAGUUAUUAUGUACUGUACAAUUCAGGUUCCAGCUACCAGCUUCUUUAAUUUAUUAGCAAGAGCACAGCCAGCUCCAAUCGGUUUUCAGUCCACAUUACUGGACCGUUUGUUACACAGCUCCACCUCCCUAGCUUACGUUUAAAGGCUUAUACGUUUAAUCUAUUACAAGCAAAUUAAUUGAGCCAUGUAAAUGUACUAAAUAUGUGUCUCCCUA